rnacentral:lncRNA from 1 species
CUUCUCCAUCAUCAUCUAAUGAAUAUUGUGAUUAUCCUUUCUUUGACAUAUCUUGUAAGUCUGUGAAUCUCAAAUCUGAACUACUACAUGGUGGUCAUGGAUCAGAAUUGGAAUCUAGUAUCAAGAAAAAGAUCAUGAAUUUUCUUAACAUGUCUCAAAAUGAAUACUCAAUGGUUUUUACUGCUAAUAGAUCAUCAGCUUUCAAGCUUAUAGCAGAAUCUUACCCUUUCCAAACUAGUCGAAAGCAAUCAUGAAUUUUCUUAACACGUCUCAAAAUGAAUACUCAAUGGUUUUUACUGCUAAUAGAUCAUCAGCUUUCAAGCUUAUAGCAGAAUCUUACCCUUUCCAAACUAGUCGAAAGCUUCUUACAGUUUAUGACCAUG